rnacentral:rRNA from 1 species
UACAGAGACUGCAAGCGUUAUUCGGAUUCACUGGGCGUAAAGGGCGCGUAGGCGGCCUUCUAAGUCGGACGUGAAAUCCCUCGGCUUAACCGAGGAACUGCGUCUGAUACUGAAAGGCUUGAAUCCGGGAGAGGGAUGUGGAAUUCCAGGUGUAGCGGUGAAAUGCGUAGAUAUCUGGAGGAACACCGGUGGCGAAGGCGGCAUCCUGGACCGGUAUUGACGCUGAGGCGCGAAAGCUAGGGGAGCAAACGGG